CCGAGGCGUUGUUCGGAUUCAUUGGGCGUAAAGGGUGCGUAGGCGGCCGGGAAAGUCCGGCGUGAAAGGCAGAGGCUCAACCUCUGGACUGCGGUGGAUACUUCCCGGGCUUGAAGGACUGGAGGGGAGACUGGAAUUCCCGGUGUAGCAGUGAAAUGCGUAGAUAUCGCGAGGAAGACCGGUGGCGAAGGCGAGUCUCUGGACAGAUCCUGACGCUGAGGCACGAAGGCUGGGGGAGCGAACAGGAUUAGAUACCCUGGUAGUCCCAGCAGUAAACGAUGUGAGCUUGAUGUGGGGGGAUUCGACCCCUUCCGUGUCGAAGCUAACGCGAUAAGCUCACCGCCUGAGGAGUACGGCCGCAAGGCUAAAACUCAAAGAAAUUGACGGGGACCCGCACAAGCGGUGGAGUAUGUGGCUUAAUUCGAUGCAACGCGAAGAACCUUACCUGGCCUUGACAUGCAUUGUGUCGUCGGUGAAAGCCGGCUAGUCCUGGAAACAGGACGCUUUGCACAGGUGCUGCAUGGCUGUCGUCAGCUCGUGUCGUGAGAUGUUGGGUUAAGUCCCGCAACGAGCGCAACCCUUGUGGUCAGUUACUAACCGGCUUAGCCGGAGGACUCUGGCCAGACUGCCCUGUCAAACGGGGAGGAAGGUGGGGACGACGUCAAGUCAGUAUGGCCCUUAUGGCCAGGGCUGCACACGUACUACAAUGCCCGGUACAAUGUGAACCGAAACCGCGAGGUGGAGGAAAUCGCUCUUGAAAACCGGGCCCAGUUCGGAUUGGAGUCUGCAACUCGACUCCAUGAAGUCGGAAUCGCUAGUAAUGGCGUAUCAGCAACGACGCCGUGAAUACGUUCCCGGGUCUGUACACACCGCCCGUCACAUCAUGGAAGUCUCCUGUACCCGAAGCACGUGCGCCAACCUUUUAGGAGGCAGCGUUCGAAGGUAUGGGAGUAACUGGGAUGAAG
rnacentral:rRNA from 1 species